GCCACUGUGGUGUAGUGGUUUGAGCAUUGGACUCUGACUCUGGACAUUAGGGUUCAAAUCCCUGCUCCGCCA
rnacentral:tRNA from 1 species